CAGUGCCGUAACUAGCCUUUUAUGCGCCCGGUGCGAGAAAUAUAAAAAAUGUUGUUCAUGGAUGGAAAAUGAAUACAAUUGAUCAUCAAUCAUUUACCUAAAUUCGAAAUUUUGACCAUUCCAUGAAGACCGAA